rnacentral:rRNA from 1 species
GAGUGAUGAAGGCCUUAGGGUUGUAAAGCUACUUUCGUCAGGGAAGGAUAAUGACGGUACCCUGAGAAGAAGCCUCCGGCUAACUCCGUGC